CGCAUUAAGUUCCCCGCCUGGGGAGUACGGCCGCAAGGCUAAAACUCAAAGGAAUUGACGGGGACCCGCACAAGCGGCGGAGCAUGCGGAUUAAUUCGAUGCAACGCGAAGAACCUUACCAAGGCUUGACAUAUACGAGAACGCUGCAGAAAUGUAGAACUCUUUGGACACUCGUAAACAGGUGGUGCAUGGUUGUCGUCAGCUCGUGUCGUGAGAUGUUGGGGUUAAGUCCCGCAACGAGCGCAACCCUCGUUCUAUGUUGCCAGCACGUAAUGGUGGGAACUCAUGGAAUACUGCCGGGGUCAACUCGGAGGAAGGUGGGGAUGACGUCAAAUCAUCAUGCCCCUUAUGUCUUGGGCUUCACGCAUGCUACAAUGGCCGGUACAAUGGGCUGCAAUACCGUAAGGUGGAGCGAAUCCCAAAAAGCCGGUCCCAGUUCGGAUUGAGGUCUGCAACUCGACCUCAUGAAGUCGGAGUCGCUAGUAAUCGCAGAUCAGCAACGCUGCGGUG
rnacentral:rRNA from 1 species